UUUUACAAUCUAUAAGAAAAUGUAUUUUCUAUUAAUCGAAUCACAAGCCUGGUGGAGAAGCCUUUUAAAUCUUGAUCAUUGUUUCCGCAUAUAUUUUAUUAAAUUAGCAUAGUAAAUUUCAUAGCUUUAAUAUAUGUAGUAUACAAUUGGUGUUUCUAAGACAAAAUGCCAAUGAAAAUAUAUUAUUUUUAAUAAUUAAUUAGAGAUUUAAAUAUUUAUUAUUGUAGUUUGGAGUCUCUGCACUUUGGAUACAAAUCGCUAGGAUAUCCGGUAUAUCCGUAUAUAUGAUUUUACUUUGCAUGUGCGUAAAUAAUAUACAUCCAACCUUUUACAUUGUCCCUACCUAAAUAAAGAAAUAUAUAGAUUUCAUUCAUGCUCGGAUUCUUGUUGAUUACAUCGGGUAGUCAAACUUUAAAAGUUAAAUAUAUUUAAUUAUUCUAUAUAUUUUUAACGUCUGGUUAAUUAUACUAUUACGAUAAAAAAUAUUAUAUAAACGAUUCUACAUUUGAUAAUUUUGUCACCUUGUGAGAAUACAUGCAUGACUGCGACACUCCAAACUGUCCAAUGAGAUUCGUGUUCGAUAAUAUGUAUAAUUUGUAUCAUACUAAAGAUUUUUUAUAAUUUUUUUCCUUAUAAUCUGUAUAAUUUGCAUUUCUGGAUUUUGAAUCCCAAACUUUCAUGUAUACAAAUAUUAACGAACUUUUAGUUAAAAUCGCACUGAAAUAAAUGGGCUUCCACAUUAUUUUCUAUUUUAAAGCACACAUUCAAACUUUUAUCUAUUACUGUAUUUAAUUAUUUAAUCAAAUAAACUAGAGAAAUAUAAGUAUUUAAUUGCUUCAUACUCUGAUCUUAGUGAUUUUUUGUUGUAGUAAAGUUUCUUAUUAUUUAGGCCAAGUCCAACCGGACCGUAUAAUGCCAAAAUAGUGCAACAUUUGAUGAUUUCUCUCUCCAAACACACAGUAAAAGAAACGUUAUUUUGAUGUGAUUUCUUUCUUUGCUAAAAUUCACAUUAUGUUUGGUGUUACACUGUAUUAAUAGCAAAACUCUUUUUUCAAAACUAUUUACUUCAAUAUUGGUUGACCAUAAAAAAAUAUUAUUUAAUUAUAUUGACUAUAUUUCACUUAUACUAUUUAUUUGUAAUUAGAUCUGAUAUUUCAAUAAAAACAAAUAUACAAUAUUUCUUUUGUUAGCUUUAACAUUUAUUUAAUAUAAAAUAUUAAUUUAUAUGAAAAGAAAUAAAAAAACUAGUUUAAAAAUACAUAACAAGGUUAAAUUCAAAACAAAGGAAAUUUAAAUUACAAAAUUAAAAGUCUGAAUGUUAUCAUUAUUAAAUUUAGUAUAAUGUAAUUUAUCUUUUGUUAUGUGUUUUUAAUUGUUUAAUGUAAGAGUUUAUUUUAAUAAUAAUAUUUUAAUAUAAUUUUUACACAUAAUAUAUUUAUAUUUGAAUUAGAAAUAUUUUGAAAACCUGAAUUAGAACUAUCAUUUUAAUUAUAAUUUUAAUAUUACUUAAUAUCUUUUAGUCAUGAGAUAAUAAAUAUUUUACUAAACUAUUAAAAACUAAGAGAAUCUUAUUUAAUAACAUAAUACUUUUUCAACUAAAAAAAAUAUUUUUUCAACUAAAAAAAUAUUCUUUUUAGUGUAAUGUUAGUGUUGUGGUUGGAGAGCAAAAACAAUUAAUGCUAAAAGUACAUUAAAAUAGUGCAACUUUGACACUAAAAUAGUAUCAUAAAUUGGAGUGUAACUUAAUAUUAGUAUCAUGGGUUUGAGUGUAACUUAACAUUAAAUUUAAUAUUCCAUCUGUUCCAUAAUAUAAGAUGUUUUGGAGAAAAUUGAUGUUUCAAAAUAUAAGAUAUUUUGAUAUUUUUAAGGUACUUUAACUUUAUUGGAAAUUGAUUGACCAUUAAUAUUUUACUGUAUUAUUUAUGAUUGAUUAAUUUAUUUUAAAUUUAUGCUGUUAAUGAUAUUAUUUUUAAAAAAAGUUAAGUUUCUUAAUUCUUGUAUUUUAUGCAAAACAUCUUAUAUUAUGGAACGAAGAAAUUAUUAAAAUAGUGUAACUUAACUAGGAAUGUCAAACAGGUUGAUCCGUCUCGUCCCGUACCGUACCGCAGCGGACUCGUCUUCGAGCGGGUCACGGCGGGACAGGCCCGCACGGGCUGCGGUCCUCAAAAUGGCUGACCAAACCCGUACCGCAAAACAUGUAGGCCUUUGCGGAUCGGCCCGCGGGACAUGGAAUUACAAACGGACAUAUGGUUCCUGAACGCUUGAAGACAUGAUUCAGGACGCUUUAUCAAUUUCAUGACGCAUCAGUAAGUGAGUUUAGUCAAGGAUUGAACUGGAUAAGAAAAUACACUUAUUAGUUGAAGAUUUUAGUUGGAUCAAAACACUAGUUUAUUUACUUUUGUUAGACUCCAAAUAUUUUAAAAAUAAACAAUACUUUAGUUGCUGAAUCCAAAUAUUAUAACUCAUAACUUCAUAACAAAUGCUUUAGUUUUCUGAAUCCAAAAUUAAAUAAAACCAACGCCAAAUCAAAUAUGUUAAUCCCAAAAAUAAAUAAAAAGAAAACACUAAUCACACUUCUUGUUGCUUCAUCUUUAUCACCAACAAACGAUAAAAAGAUGAAAAUUUCUUCUCUUCACCAUCAACUUCAUCUUCUGCAAAUAAGAAUAAUAGAAGUCAGUUAAAGAUAAUGUGAACAAAUACAUAUAGGCAAAACUAUGAAGAACCCAUGGCGGGAACUAGAUCUUCUUCUUCGGUGGAAAGUGAGUUUUCAAACUUCUUAUGAUGACUCGAAGAAGCUCCAUCGGUGUAGAUCGAAGACUCUCUCUCUCUCUCUCUCUCUCUCUCUCUCUCUCUCUCUCUCUCUCUCUCUCUCUCUCUCUCUCUCUCUCUCUCUCUCUCUCUCUCUAUCUCUCAAUGUUUUAGGCGAAAGCAGAAAUGGAGACUUAGGAUUGCGGAUCUUCAAAAUCCCGCGGGUUAAGCCCAUCCCGCUUUCGAUCCGUCCCCUUUUUGACCCGUUCCGCUUUAAACCCGUCCCGCGAGGCCCGCAAUUUUACGGGCUUACCAAAUGGAGACCCAAUCCCGCCCCGCAGCAAGCCUUUACGGGUCAGGCCCGCGGUUCAGGUCUUUGAUUGCCAUCCCUAAACUUAACCCUAAAGGUCUCGAUUCUUAAUGCGUACUUAGAGCAUCUCCAAUGUAUUACUCCAUUUUUUACUCCAAAAUGGUGCAACACCAAAAUAGAGUAAGGUUUUACUCCAAUGUAUUACUCCAUUUUCUACUCCAAAAAUAACAUUUCUUAAAGAUUUCAUUUUUAUUUUAUUAAUAAUUGCAAAUAAAAUCUUAUACUUAUAAAAAUUUACCAAUUAACCCCAACUAUUUUAUGUUUACGAUAAAUAAUUAAAAUAUAAAUUAUUUGAAUUAAAUAUUUAUUAUUAAAACGUACAAGAAAUCAUUAAAAAGACAACAUACAUGUGGGUUCAACAAUGAGCAUUAGAAUAUUUUUCCCACAAAUGAUCAACUAAUGCAUUUCGUAAUGAAAAUGAGCUUCUUUAUCUUUGAUAUUCCUAAAUCGAGCAAGAAAAUUUUGAAAUCAGACAUUUUCAUCUUCUGCAAUUUCGAUACUCGGAUGUGGAGCUUCUCUUCCAAGUUCAAUUGGUGCAUCGAGUUCACGCUCAUUCAUACAAGAUCCAAAUGUUCGUGCGUAUAUUCAAACUCAACAAAUACAAAUAAUAUCAAAGCGAAAUGUUGAAUCACAAGAUCAACAAGCUCUUUCUUAGACUUUUCCGUUUGGGCAAUAUUUCACCGACCUUAGCGGAUCCGGAACGGAUUUUCUAGAUUAUUAAAUUACUUAUUUUAUGUUAUUUUUAUUUUUAUUAUUUAUUUUUUCUGUUAUUUUCAUUAUUUAUUUAAAAUUAUUAAAUAAUCCUUUGUGGAAUAUACUAUUUUCAUGUUAAUGUAUCAUUUUAAAUAUUAUUUAAGUAAGAAAUAAAAAUAUUAAAGAUUAAAAUGACCAUUUUAUAAAUAAAAAAAGUUGAACUCCAAAAUGGAGUAAUGGGUAAGAUUACUUCAUAAAUGGAGUAACCCUAGCCAUUACUCUAUUUUGGAGUUGAAAAUGGAAUGGGGUUAGAGAAGAUUUUACUCCAUAAUGAUGUUUAGAGUUGAAAAUGGAAUAGGGUUGGAGAUGCCCUUAGUAAAGUAAGACGGUGUUGCUGAUCACAGGUGUAUGGGUAAUUAUAUCGCAUUUGGAAAUAUUUAAUCUUUUAAGUGUCGACUUGUUUUCUGUUGGAAAAGUCUGGGCAGGGUCGAUAGUGUCGUCACCUAGAACUAGAAGCCAAACACAAUGCCUAAUAUUCGAUCAUAGGCUAUUAAUGUGUAUUUGACCUACGCUUCCUUGUGUCGUAGAGAGUCUAGAGACUCCAAUUCCUCUCCUCGUUUUUACAAUUAAUCUGAACUUUUUUUCUAAAGGACUAUAUCUCGGAAUUCUCAUACACCAAGUGAUUAGAGACUGAGUUAGAGUGCUGGAGGAUAUGUGUCGAUGGGUCGAUGUCAGGAUUGCCUUUCGAGUUAGCUAUUGUGAACGCUUUAAAUGUAAACAAUAGCCGACUUUAUACGUAAUUUGAAGAUUUUAGAUCUACUUCUCCUGAAUUCCCAAAAAAAAGAUCUACUUCGCCUAACCAAAAAAGAACUCUUAUCUAUACUAUUACUAAGUAAAGAAAAAUAUACUGAGAGAUUAAAGAUGUUUUAAGGUGAGUUUUUUUUGGUAUAUAAAAUGGAUAUAAUUUUAACCAAAUAAUGAUAAAAUUAAAUAUUUUAGAAAAGUGAAUUAUAAGAAAAAAAAGAGAGGAUAUUGUUAGAGGAUGGAAUAAGAUUAGGGAGUUAGAUGUGAAAGACUGGCAAGCUGAACAAGUUGUUUUUUUUUUGAACAUCAGCUGAACAAGUAACUAAUCACAUUAUAAUUUUUCACAAAGGUUUGGUUUUUUUUUUUUUUUUUUUUUUUUUGACGUCGAAAGGCUAUUCUAUUACUCAAACUUGUGGUGGUCUAGGUAACCAGACCGGAAUAGAACAACCAAUAAAAAAUAACUCCCUAUGGAAAGAUCUUGCAGUCUUAGCUAAAAAGUCUGAGAUCUGGUUUCGCGUUCGUGGAACAUGCAUGAUGCUGAAGUCCGGGAAGCAUAUCUGUAACGUCUAUAUCCUCUCCAACUCCGUCGCAAAACUUGGCCACGCCUGAGGGUCCUUUAUCAUUGCAAUCAACUCCUUACAAUCCGUUCCAAAGCUCUGACAUGUUGAGUGUUGAAGCAUAUUCUCCAUCGCCCAUCGCAGUGCUUCUACUUCCGAAUGCAAGGCUGAUUCGCACAAAGGUUUGGUUCACUUCCACUCUUAAAACUAAUUUAAUAGCUUGAUUAUUUUAGUAGACCGACAUUAUAUUUAUAUUCCUUAUUUUUCUUUAUAUAUUAGAUACUUGGGGAUGCAUCUAAAUCCUUUAAUUGUUAUCAAUAAACCACGCUAGCUUUUUUGAGUGUUAAAAAAUUAUAGAUGAUUUUGUCCUAUUUUUAAUGGAAAAUGACGUUUGACAAUAAUAAGCAAGGACAAGUUCUGUGAACAUGGACAAGACAUAAAUCAAAAUUUAAUAAAAGUAAUGGGGGAAAUAUUAGAAUUAUAGUCAAAACUCAAAUUCAGAAAAGACUAUAUAUAAAUAUAGAUAUAUAAUUGUUUUUCCUUGUUUUUAAUAGUUAGUUAUUUGUUUUGAUUUUUUUUUGUCAAGCUAUUUAUAUAUUUAUAUCAAAGCCAACUUAUCACAUAGGUUUGAUUGUUACAUCUAGCUUUUUGGCUAAUUCAUCUACCAACACCAGACUACUUCUAGGUACAUAAGAAAAGGUAAACACAUUUGCCUUUGAAGUUUCUACAAUGUCAUGUAUCAUAGAGAAACUCUCUGUGUUACGGACAUUGACGAUAGUUGCUGCAGUGGUAUACUGAGCCAACUCAUCCUCAUCCAUAAGAGAUUUACAAUCCCCUUUAAAAAUGGAAAUUUGUGAAGGCGAGUGCUCGCAUUUGUCGUACUGCCAUGCGUAAUUAAUGCUUCAGUCUCUGCCUCUGGUGGAGUGUUUGUUUGGCGUAUAGAUGAGGAUCCUCGAAGAUGUUGAUUGCCUUGUGUGCUGUGUAAGGACCAACCAACACCUGCAACCUCCUUAUCAUAAAUAUCAUUCUUCCAAGAGGCAUCAAAGUAGCAAUAAUAUUGAGUACCUAUUGAUUUAUACGUCCAAAAAUAUUAUUAUCACAUAACCAUUAUACUAGUUUUUCCGAACAACGACUAUAUAGCACAUAGGUCAAGGAAUCUGCUUUAUUUGUUUUUCUUGUCUUUGGUUAACGUUUUUUGAUAUCUUCUACGCCUGGAAACUUUUGCCAUAAUUAAAUAUUACAAGUUAGUGAGUUACCAUUUAGGACACUGUAUUCACUUUUUUGACAGUUUAAGACACUUGUUGCUGGAGGGAUACUUUUUCUCUUACUUAUGCUGAUUUCAGACUAAAUUACCCCUGGUCGAAGUGAGACAAGAAACAAGUUGGUGUUAGUGAGGACCACUUAUAUUGUCUUGUUAGUGAGAACGUUUGUUUCUCGUCAGAAAACAUAAAAAAUAACUUAGUUAGAUAUUAUUAUUUUAUGUCAUUACUUUUCAUCUUCUUGUUUUAUAUUAGUUUUUUUCAAAAAUUUUGAUAUAUUAAAAAAAUUUAAUUGUUACAAUAAAUUUUAGAUUUUUUUCCUCUAUAUUUUAAGAUCCAUUAUCAUAUAUAUAUUUUAUAUAUUUAACAUUUAUACAAAAUAAAUAUGUGGACAUGGAUGAAAAAGUGUGAAAGAAUAAAAUAUGAAAGAGAUGUAGAUUCACAACGUUAAAUGUUUAGUGCUUUGUAAAUUUAUCACAGACAGCCGAGUUAGCACCUAUAAUAAGCAAAAAAAUGAGCUCAUGAUAAAUACUAAUGUCGUGGAUAUGGACGGAAAACUACGAACAUUGACAAAAAAAUUAUAUCUUUUAACAUCCAUUUUCAAUUUUACAUAUAUUAACAUUUACACAAAAUGUUUAGACAUUGACAUAAUAAAUAUGUAUGAAAAAUGUGGACAUGGCUAAGAAGACAUAUUUCUUAAAAUGUGGACAUGGACUAAAUCUGUGGACAAAAAUUCGU